rnacentral:rRNA from 1 species
GGGUUGUGAGGUUAAGCGACUAAGCGUACACGGUGGAUGCCCUGGCAGUCAGAGGCGAUGAAGGACGUGCUAAUCUGCGAAAAGCGUCGGUAAGGUGAUAUGAACCGUUAUAACCGGCGAUGUCCGAAUGGGGAAACCCAGUGUGAUUCGUCACACUAUCGUUAACUGAAUACAUAGGUUAACGAGGCGAACCGGGGGAACUGAAACAUCUAAGUACCCCGAGGAAAAGAAAUCAACCGAGAUUCCCCCAGUAGCGGCGAGCGAACGGGGAGCAGCCCAGAGUCUGAAUCAGCUUGUGUGUUAGUGGAACGGUCUGGAAAGUCCGACGGUACAGGGUGAUAGUCCCGUACACCAAAAUGCACAGGUUGUGAACUCGAAGAGUAGGGCGGGACACGUGGUAUCCUGUCUGAAUAUGGGGGGACCAUCCUCCAAGGCUAAAUACUCCUGACUGACCGAUAGUGAACCAGUACCGUGAGGGAAAGGCGAAAAGAACCCCGGCGAGGGGAGUGAAAAAGAACCUGAAACCGUGUACGUACAAGCAGUGGGAGCACCUUCGGGUGUGACUGCGUACCUUUUGUAUAAUGGGUCAGCGACUUAUAUUCUGUAGCAAGGUUAACCGUAUAGGGGAGCCGCAGGGAAACCGAGUCUUAACUGGGCGUUAAGUUGCAGGGUAUAGACCCGAAACCCGGUGAUCUAGCCAUGGGCAGGUU